UCCGAAGUUAAGCAUCAUUGGGCGCAGUCAGUACUUGGGUGGGUGACCACCUGGGAACACUGCGUGCCGUU
rnacentral:rRNA from 1 species